GAAGACACCUACCGGUCAAAUAAACUGUACAAUUAUAGGAACUUCUGAAAUGAUAUACAUAUAUUUAUUUAAGGAGUGCACAGAGUGAUUAAUAAUACUAAAAUCACAAAAGGGAAGAACAACAAGCAACAAUUAGAAUAUAAGAAGUGAUGAUACAUACUGACGGCAGACAUAAUCCAUCUACUAAGAUAACAACAUAGUAAGGGGAAAAACAAACCAAUAACUCAUGUUCUACGAUGAUGCUCACUUAAGGUCUUAUUCGACUGUUUCCACAAGUUUACCAAAUCUUGGACAAAACUCAACUCAUAAAAUCCCAGCAUCUGAUAUCUAACACUUGGCAUCCUGUGCCCCAUUAGACUCACAGUCAUGCUAGCCACUAACAAGCCAACUACGGCCACUCUUACAUAUAAAUUGAUUAAACGAGGAGUACCUCUAUGCUUAGAAAAACCAAGGGAACUUCACCUCCAAUAGGGGUGUUUCAACUACGUGUAUGCAUGUGCAAGUGCUUUAACAUGUUUUCCACCAGCUAAUAAAGAUAAGAAGAAGAGCGGCAGCACUCUCAAUGUUUCCUCACCGCAUCUACAAGAUAAAUCUCAUAAAGGAAAUGAAACAGAAUAAAAACAUUAAACGAAGAUAGGAAUGCCUCCAGAGGCCGUCACAAUCAAUAUAAUCAAUCUCUAACAUAGCCCACCUUAGGUCACCAUGUGUGCAAUAAAUAACAUAAUAAGUACCACCUUAUUUCGCCACUCGUGAAUCAUAGUAUUUCCCCACUUAUUUCGCCACAUGCACAACCCACAUAUAAGCGUAUGAACAUCUCUCGCCUUAUUACACCGCACGUGCAAUAAAUCAAUGGCAGCAGUGGCAUGUCAAAGACCUCGUGCAAACUCUCAACAAAAAUCGCAUGGCAGAAACCUCAUGUAUCACAUAUCAAUAACUGCAUGGCAGAAACCUCGUGCACCACAAUAUCAACAGUAGCACGGCAGAAACCUCGUGCAUCACAGUAUCAACAACUGCACGGCACAAACCUCGUGCACCAUAAUAUUAAUAGUAGCACGACAUAAAUCUCAUGCAUCACAAUAUCAAGUACAACUGCAACAAUUGCAAUAUAUAUUGGAAUGAAGCAAAAGAAUCACUAAGGUAUUUCCGUUCACCAAAAGACAGUACAACUAACUCAUAAGGAAUACCUGUAACAGAGAAAUACAAAGCGCAAAAAGGAAUAAAUGAUAAGAAACAACGAUUCCAUAAUACUCAGUUCAACAACAAGGAAGUUAACANNNNNNNNNNNNNNNNNNNNNNNNNNNNNNNNNNNNNNNNNNNNNNNNNNNNNNNNNNNNNNNNNNNNNNNNNNNNNNNNNNNNNNNNNNNNNNNNNNNNNNNNNNNNNNNNNNNNNNNNNNNNNNNNNNNNNNUGAACCAAAUAAUUACAAUUAUAAAUGAUAAGAAACAACGAUUCCAUAAUACUCAGUUCAACAACAAGGAAGUUAACAUGAACCAAAUAAUUACAAUUAAGGAAGUAUCAACUAAACAUAUUUUAUCUAACUUCUUUUCAUUUAAGACCAAUUAAUUACACGAGAGAUAGAAACAAUACUUUACAAAUAAAGACGAGCAGUUAGGAAUGAUAAUGCUACAAUAGAAGGGUAAGUGUCCAUAAUUAAUCAAGUAAAAGUCGAUUAGGCAACAAGAACAAACCAAACCGGACAAAGAAAUUCCAGGUAAGACAUGUAGAGGGGAAACUAAUAACAGGGAACUCAAUUGUAUCAAGAACAACUUCAUAUUCGGUGAUUACAAAUAUCUAAGAGCCUAAAAGGGACAAAUUGUUCACAAAUAGAUCCGAGCACGCACUCGUCACCUUAUGUACAAGGAAUUAAAGCAACAAAGAAGACUCAAUUCCUAAGGGGAAGUCCCCUGCAUAAGGUUAGGAAAGAUACUUACCUCGAACUAGCUAAAAUAAAAUAGCAACCACGUUCUUGCCAUGAGUACUCAACUACAAAUAUCCGAAAUCUAUUCAAUUCAAUCACGCAUUGUAAAUAACAUCUCAAGAAACUAAUUCUACUAUUUAGUUCAAGCUAAGACGCGAAUUUAGGUAAAAUAACCAAAAUACCCAUCAAGCCAACAUGGUCAAAACCCAGGGUUCGAACCAAAACCCGGUUAUCCAUUCCCCACGAACACAAAUAUAUGAUUCAUUUUGUAAUCAAACCUCAAAUUGAGGUCCAAAUUCCUAAUUUUAGAAAAACCUAGGUUCUACCCAAAACAUCCAAUUUCACCAAUGAAAACCCUUGAUUUUAAGUUGAAGAUGUUGAUGAUUGAACUAAAUGAGUAAAAUUUGCUCUUCAAAAAUGCCCCAAAUCAGUUGUGUUUUGAAAAUGGGGUGAAAAUGUCUCAAAUUCGACUAAGUAUGGAAAAUGCAAGUUGCAUAUGUGGGAAAUGCGAACUGGCGUUCGCAAUUGCGAACCCCAACUAAUAAUACAUAUUGCGAACUUUUGUACGCAUUUGCAAACUCAUAACCAACUGGAGGACUUUGCAUUUGCGACUAAUGUAUCGCAUUUGCGAACGUCUAACCUUCGCAUUUGCGAAGCGUUUUAUCCCAUUAGCGAUUCAAGGCACGCUUGGCUGGUUUCCCAUUUGCGAUCCGGCCUUCGCAUUUGCGAGUUUGCAUUUACAAACCAAGAUGCGCAAAUGAGACCCAUGCAAGCAUGUUCAUACCAGAUUUUUCAAAAAUUUAAAAAUGCAAUCCGACGCCUAUCCAAACCUCACCCGAGCCCUCGGGGCUCCAAAACAAAUAUGCACACAACCUCAAAAAUAUCCUAGAGACUUAUUAGCACGAUCAAAUUGCCAAAAUAACAUCAUAUACAUCAAAUUAAGACUCAAAACUCAUUAUUUCCUCCAAAUUUUCGUAAAACAGCAUAUUUCAUUGUAAGUUCGAAACACGUCAAAUGACAUUCAUUUUCAACCAAGUGCUUAAACCAUAUAUAAGACUUGUAUCGAGGGCCAAAAAUAAAAUAUGGGCCCGAUACCAUUGUCUUUUAAUCAAAUUUCAUUUUCAAUUUCUUUAAUUAUUUCCAGAAGAUAAUUUUACGCAAAAAUUCAUUUCUCGGGCUUGGGAACUCAAAAUUCGAUUCCGGGCAUACGCCCAAGUCCCAUAUUUUUUUGCCGACCCUACAGGACUGUCAAAUUAUGAUUCCGGGUCCGUUUACUCAAAAAGUUGACCAGAGUAAAACUUAUUCAACUUAAUAUCAAAUUUUAGUAUUUUUCUCACAGAAUUCAUAUCUAAACUUUCUGGUUAUGUGCUCAGACUACGCAGGCAAAUUAAGGCAACCCCAGAUGAGGUUUUUAAGGCCUCGAAAGUACAUAAUAGGUAACAAAAUAAGUGAUGAUCCCUUUGGGUCUUCACACAGUCGAAUAGAACAAAAUUACAAGGUUGAAAGUUACCUAGAUUGUAGAAUUUUAAACGCAGCCUUAAGGUAGAGAAAAACGACUAGUUAAACCAGCAACGACAACUAAAAACCAGCAAAAGACACCCAAAACAAACCAGAAAAUCAAACCCAGAAACUUCAGGCACUUUCAAAGAAACUAAAGUUACUACUUUUAUUUUUUGGAAGAUUUUUUCUUGGUUUCAGCUUACUGUAAUGUAUUUAGAUGUUGAUAUUUUGUGAAGGAGGGACCCUCUCUUUAUAGUAGUAGAAGUUCGUUGAGGUUAGGUUCUGCCUUAACAAAAAAUGUGUCCAAAAAAUAAGAAAAAGAACUGACUUUUUUCACAAAUUUCUGACAAAUACAAAAGUAGAUGUACUCCCAACAAUUCCAAAACAGUCAAAUAAACCAAACAUGUAUUCUACUUCAUCAUUUACCUUUUACCCUUCACAAUCUAAUAUCAAACUAACUAACCAAUUCAAGCCGAUGUAAAAGCAGAAAAUUCAGCAUUCAACUUAGCCAAUUAAACUAAUGUUUAUAUGAUCAAUAUAAGGGAAAAAUAAAAAAUCUAUGAUUAGGCAAGAGAUGUAUUAUAGUGAAGUACCUAACUGAGCGUCGAAAUCAGAAACAAUACUAUAGAAAUUAGUGGAUCGAUCAUUAUCAGAACUAAAACCUAAACAAACUAACAAAUUAAUUAAGAAAAAACAAAAAAAUCUAAGACAAAGAAAAAAGGAUUAGGAAUUUUACCAAACUCGAAUACCCGGGCAAUGUCAUAAUAAUAACAAUAGGCAGUGGUUCGGGCUCAGGCAUGCUUUUAUUGUUGAUAUACACCAAAAUCAUAAAUUCGUACAAACCGAAAAAUGGUUUUGGUAUUGUCAAUAUUAGAAACCUACACGAGGCUAGAGAUAAAGAUGAGAGGCAGGAGCCGCGAUGUUGGGCGGUCAGUUGUGGCAGUGGUGGUUGCCUAAAAGGCCACCGGACACUGGUGGUCGGAGUUAAAUCAAUGGAAAAAAUAGAGUUGAAGGAGCUAUAUCUGUUCAUGUACGUAUGAUAGGGUGGUGGUGGCUGGAGCUUCACGAAUUUGACAAAAAAUUAUCAUUGGGGCUUUCCUAGAUCUAGAAUUUGUGGAAUUUUAGGUGGUUUUGAAGGAUUUUAUUUGAAGAUACAGAAAGAGGAGGUUGUGUCAAUUAUAUGGUGAGAUUUUGAGGUCAUUUGGAGCGACGACAACGCUGGCGGAUGGCGAUAGUGGCGAUGGAGAUGGGCGGUGCGGCGGCCAGAGAGGGGGGAAAGGAUAGCGGCUUUAGGGUUUGGUUAAAGUAAAAGAGAAGGCCAAAAAUCUGAUUUUAGGGGCCUUAUAUACCUUUGAGGAUAUUGAAUAAGGGCUAUUGAAUUAGAAUAUGAUGAAG
rnacentral:lncRNA from 1 species